rnacentral:rRNA from 1 species
UGGCGACCGGGUGAGUAACACGUGACUAACCUACCUUCAAGUGGGGGAUAACCUCGGGAAACCGGGGCUAAUACCGCAUAACAUCUUUGGAGUGGAAAUUCUGGAGAUCAAAGGAGCAAUUCGCUGGAAGAGGGGGUCGCGGCUGAUUAGCUAGUUGGCGGGGUAAUGGCCCACCAAGGCUUUGAUCGGUAGCCGGCCUGAGAGGGCGCACGGCCACACUGGGACUGAAACACGGUCCAG